UACGUAGGGUGCAAGCGUUGUCCGGAAUUAUUGGGCGUAAAGAGCUCGUAGGCGGUCUGUCGCGUCGGCUGUGAAAACCCGGGGCUCAACCCCGGGCCUGCAGUCGAUACGGGCAGACUAGAGUGCGGUAGGGGAGACUGGAAUUCCUGGUGUAGCGGUGGAAUGCGCAGAUAUCGGGAAGAACACCGAUGGCGAAGGCAGAUCUCUGGGCCGUAACUGACGCUGAGGAGCGAAAGCGUGGGGAGCGAACAGG
rnacentral:rRNA from 1 species